rnacentral:rRNA from 1 species
CUACGGGCCGCUGCAGCUAAGAAUUUUUUGCAAUACACGCAAGUGUGACAAAGCGAACCAGAGUGCUUUUCGUAUGAAAAGCUUUUGCUAAAUUUAAAAAAUUUGGCGAAUAAGGACUGGGUAAGACGAGUGCCAGCCGCCGCGGUAAUACUCGCGGUCCAAGUCGCAGCCAUUUUUAUUGGGUCUAAAAUAUCCGUAGCUUGCUUAAUAAGUUUCUUGUGAAAUCUUAUCUCUUAAAGAUAGGGCGUGCAAGAAAUACUGUUAAGCUAGAGACUGGAAGACGUAAGAAGUAUGUUCAAAGUAGCGGUAAAAUGUGUUAAUCUUGAGCAGACUUACAACAGCGAAGGCAUCUUACGAGGACAGUUCUGACAGUAAGGGAUGAAGGCUAGGGGCGCAAAACGGAUUAGAUACCCGAGUAGUC